AACACCCUGCUGCCCUGCAGUGUCCCAUCACACAAGCGCACACCUUGGCUUCUCUUUUCAAAUGCCCACGUGGAACCCAAAACAUUGCCCAACAUCACAAAGGUGACACUACUUCAUCCCAUUGCCAAAGGCCGUCCACUUGGUGAGCUGCAUCUGUCUAGGAAGGGGCUGUGGUUGCAGCCAGAUGGCUGCCCUCCUUUCUCACCCUCACACCUCAGACUGUGUACUCAGAAUAUACGCAAACAAUCUUGGUUUCUUCAGGAUUAUUUAAAGACAGAUUCCAGCUGGAAAUGUUAUGGCCUCAUCUCUUGGUUUAGAUCAGAAGUGGAUUUCAGGGGAGCAAGCUACAAGAAACACAAAAAAGCUGAUUUCUUCUUCUGUUCCUAUGACUUUGCCAUUGGGUUCCAAAAUCUCCUUACUUCCCAGGGGCAUAGGCGGAAAGUGUACAAGUGCUCACUUCCCAGUACUGAAUCCAAAGACACUCCUGGAAUGAGCAGUGCUACUGGAAGAGGCCAAGCUGUUUUGUGAAGGCUAGUGUGAUGAAAUCCAAUUAAAACAAAUGAAAUAAAAAUGUGUAUCACUCAA